rnacentral:rRNA from 1 species
UGGGGAAUAUUGCGCAAUGGGCGAAAGCCUGACGCAGCGACGCCGCGUGAGGGAUGAAGGCCUUCGGGUUGUAAACCUCUUUCAGCAGGGAAGAAGCGCAAGUGACGGUACCUGCAGAAGAAGCACCGGCUAACUACGUGCCAGCAGCCGCGGUAAUACGUAGGGUGCAAGCGUUGUCCGGAAUUAUUGGGCGUAAAGAGCUCGUAGGCGGUUUGUCGCGUCUGCUGUGAAAAUCCAGGGCUUAACCCUGGACCUGCAGUGGGUACGGGCAGACUAGAGUGCGGUAGGGGAGAUCGGAAUUCCUGGUGUAGCGGUGAAAUGCGCAGAUAUCAGGAGGAACACCGGUGGCGAAGGCGGAUCUCUGGGCCGUAACUGACGCUGAGGAGCGAAAGCAUGGGGAGCGAACAGGAUUAGAUACCCUGGUAGUCCAUGCCGUAAACGUUGGGCGCUAGGUGUGGGGCUCAUUCCACGAGUUCUGUGCCGCAGCAAACGCAUUAAGC